AGAAGAGAGUGUAAUAAUAGAACUGCUAAUUCUAUUUCCCAUAUAUAAAAAUAUGGCUCCCUUG
rnacentral:tRNA from 1 species